rnacentral:lncRNA from 1 species
GAAAAGAAGAUUCACCUUCAAAUCUUCUGGAUGCUUUGGUUGAUGAUUAGUGAAGGAAGAAACUGACUACAUGAUUUUUUCUCACUGAGCAAAAGUUAGUAAACAUCAAAUAAGAUUGAUGAGCAGUGAUGGUCCAAGUUCCUGCUGCUACUACUGCUACUGCUUUGUUUCAUUGUUACGUACAUGCUGAAAUUGAAUAACUUUGGGAAGAAAAUUUUGAGGCCGC